UACGUAGGGCGCAAGCGUUGUCCGGAAUUAUUGGGCGUAAAGAGCUCGUAGGCGGCUUGUCGCGUCGGAUGUGAAAGCCCGGGGCUUAACCCCGGGUCUGCAUUCGAUACGGGCAGGCUAGAGUUCGGUAGGGGAGAUCGGAAGUUCCUGGUGUAGCGGUGAAAUGCGCAGAUAUCAGGGGAACACCGGUGGCGAAGGCGGAUCUCUGGGCCGAGUACUGACGCUGAGGCACGAAAGCGUGGGAGC
rnacentral:rRNA from 1 species